CUCACUGCUGCCCCCUUCCCAGGCAGAGAACAGAUGGCAGGGAGACAGGUGUGACCCCCCGUGGUGGAGAAUAAGCACAGAAACCUUGCCCGGUGCAGGGCACUGAGGCAGUGGGUGAGCCGUGCCCGACUGGGGAAGGAAGAGUUUCUUUGGGGGCUCAACAGUUGCAGAGGUCUCAGUCCACAGAAGGCCAGCGCCAUUCCUUGGGGCUGAAGGUAAGGCAGAGCAUCAUGGUGGCAGGGUGUCGCGGAGGGAAGCGGCUCAAAACAUGGCCACCAAGAAGCAGAGGCAAGCUCCCAGGGACCCGUGUCCUUCAGCCACACCCUCCCUGCCUGCAGACACCCCGAGUUAACCAGCACCGGGGGAGCAUGCACCAGGUAGGUUAGGCCCCUUCUAACCCUGUCAUUCCAUCUCUAGACUCUUCUGCACUGUCUCACACGUGUGCUGUUGGGGAACACCUAAUAUCUAAACCACAACACUGUGUGCUGCCUUCCUGUUCCAACCCCCAACCCCCUCUCCAGCCAGCCCCUGACCUGCACCCCUCCUCUGUGCUGGCCCAUCUUCUCCGCCUUCCAGGCCCUUCUCAAAUGCUGCCACCUCCGGGAAGCCUUUCCCGAUUACCUCUCCCCUUGCUUUUUUUUUUUUAAUGUCUUAAAGUUUUCUUUUUUUGUUUUUUAAAGAAAGAACAUGUGUCAAAGUUUUAUUUAACCCAUGAAUGGGGGAUUCAACAGGAUAAUGAAGCUGGGAGACUUUCAGGAAUACAAUAUGUAAAGAGAUUUUUUAAAAUAAAUGUUAGAAUCUAAGAUUGAUGGGUCAGAUGCAAAACCGGUGCUGUCCUCCAGGUCAAAAAUCCUUUGGGAUUAUCGUAUCUCAAUAGAAAUAAUUUGCACUCUGCCUGAUAAAAAGUCUACACACUGGGCUGGGGAUGUGGCUCAAGCGGUAGCGCGCUCGCCUGGUAUGCGUGCAGCCCGGGUGUUCGAUCCUCAGCACCACAUACAAACAAAGAUGUUGUGUCCGCUGAUAACUGAAAAAUAAAUAUUGAAACACUCUCUGUCUCUCUCUCUCUCUCUCUCUCUCUCUCUCUUUUAAAAAAAAAAAAGUCUAUACACUGACAUGGAGCUUCACAGACCCGGGAACCUCCAGGAAGUAGUCACCAGAAGGUCAAGUACAGGAGCUCAGUCCUACACCUGGGGUCGACAAACUACCAGUCACCAGCUGAAUCCAUUCUCCGUUGGUUUCUGUUGAUGAAGUUUUAUUGGAACCAGCCAUGCUUGAGUGUGUGUGUGUGUGUGUGUUGUAGCUACUUUCAUGCCAUGUUGGCAGAGCCGAGCCUUGUGGAACUGUGACAGCGGCUGCAUGACCAUUACAGAAAAACUGCACACCCCGACCUUGUAUAGGUGUGUGUGUGUGUGGUUUUUUUUUUUUUAAUGUUUGAUAUUAUGGUAAAAUGCACACAAUGUAAAAUUUACCAUCUUAACCAUUUUUAAGUGUGUGGUUCAGCGCCAUUAAGAACAUACAGAUUGUUGUAAAACCAACACCACCGCCCAUUUCCAGAACUAUCUUUGUCUUGCAAAACUGAAACUCUGUAUCCAUUAGACACUCACUCCCCAUUUCCCUCUCCCCAGCCCCUGGCAACCUCCGUUCUGUCUCCAUGAAUUUGACUAAAU
rnacentral:lncRNA from 1 species